GCAGUCGUGGCCGAGUGGUUACAGCGAUGGACUAGAAAUUCAUUGGGGUCUCCCCGCACAGGUUCGAAUCCUUUCGACUGCG
rnacentral:tRNA from 2 species